rnacentral:rRNA from 1 species
UAAUACAGAGGGUGCGAGCGUUAAUCGGAAUUACUGGGCGUAAAGGGUGCGUAGGUGGAAUAUUAAGUCAGAUGUGAAAUCCCCGGGCUUAACCUGGGAACUGCAUUUGAAACUAAUGUUCUAGAGUGAAGUAGAGGAUAGUGGAAUUUCCGGUGUAGCGGUGAAAUGCGUAGAUAUCGGAAAGAACACCAGUUGCGAAGGCGGCUAUCUGGACUUUAACUGACACUGAGGCACGAAAGCGUGGGUAGCGAAGAGG